GGCAUCCAUGAUUUUUGUAGGAUAAGGUGAUUUAGGUUUUUAUUUAGAUGUAUGAACAUUUUAUUUGGUAUAUAUUUUUCGAUUUACUAAUGUUUAAUUUGGUAUUGAGGCCUAUCUAACCCUAUUAGAUAAAAUGGAGUUAGGAAAAAACAUAUAGAGAUAUGUUUCUGCAUUCUCAUCGCGAUAUGCGGAACGCAAUAUUACGUACGGAAGCAAACAUGAUAUUUUUCUAACGUACUUUCCCACCGCAGGUAACUCAAUCUCCCUACAAUUCCAAACGAAGCUUAAGAAAUAUGUAGUAGUUGGUUACGUCAAAUUUUUCGGAAUAAGAUUAAUUACUUCGUAGUUAAAAUAUUUUAUCAUACCAAAUGAUGGAUGUAAUUAAAGAUU
rnacentral:lncRNA from 1 species